rnacentral:rRNA from 1 species
UCCGUAGGUGAACCUGCGGAAGGAUCAUUAACGAAAAAUCCAACUUCUUGCUGAACUAGACCUCGGUCCGGUUCAGCAAAAAGCACACAGUGAACUUGUUGAAGUCCCUAACAGUAGGCUGCGAGCCUUGCUGUUUUAUUAAACCCAUUUUUAACGACGUAAGUCUGAUAUUUGAAGGUCCAGGCUUCGGCUUGGCUUCAUCAAAGAUAACCAAAAGACAACUUUUAACAACGGAUAUCUUGGUUCUCGCAACGAUGACGAGCGCAGCGAAAUGCGAUACGUAGUGUGAAUUGCAGAAUUCAGUGAAUCAUCGAAACCUUGAACGCACCUUGCGCUUGCAGGUCCUCCUGCAAGCAUGCCUGUUUGAGCGUCGCUUUAUCAUCAUCCAAAAAACACUCUUUUUUGGGUGGUCUUGGUUGUCAGGCUUUGCGGCCUGUUAACUUAAAUCUGCGGCAAAGACCCCACAAUGAGGUCACGAUAGUGCAAUUGGCGCGCCUUGUGCGUGAUUCUAGCACUGGACUGCUCUCGCCGGGACCUCUUUGCUAUUGUCCUUUUGGGACCCCAAACCCAUCGGACC